rnacentral:rRNA from 1 species
AGAGUUUGAUCCUGGCUCAGAUUGAACGCUGGCGGCAGGCCUAACACAUGCAAGUCGAACGGUAACAGGAAGCAGCUUGCUGCUUCGCUGACGAGUGGCGGACGGGUGAGUAAUGUCUGGGAAACUGCCCGAUGGAGGGGGAUAACUACUGGAAACGGUAGCUAAUACCGCAUAACGUCGCAAGACCAAAGAGGGGGACCUUCGGGCCUCUUGCCAUCGGAUGUGCCCAGAUGGGAUUAGCUAGUUGGUGAGGUAACGGCUCACCAAGGCGACGAUCCCUAGCUGGUCUGAGAGGAUGACCAGCCACACUGGAACUGAGACACGGUCCAGACUCCUACGGGAGGCAGCAGUGGGGAAUAUUGCACAAUGGGCGCAAGCCUGAUGCAGCCAUGCCGCGUGUAUGAAGA